CAGCAGCCGCGGUAAUACAGAGGGUGCGAGCGUUAAUCGGAUUUACUGGGCGUAAAGCGUGCGUAGGCGGCUUUUCAAGUCGGAUGUGAAAUCCCUGAGCUUAACUUAGGAAUUGCAUUCGAUACUGGGAAGCUAGAGUAUGGGAGAGGAUGGUAGAAUUCCAGGUGUAGCGGUGAAAUGCGUAGAGAUCUGGAGGAAUACCGAUGGCGAAGGCAGCCAUCUGGCCUAAUACUGACGCUGAGGUACGAAAGCAUGGGGAGCAAACAGGAUUAGAUACCCCGGUAGUCCCUGUCUCUUAUAA
rnacentral:rRNA from 1 species